rnacentral:rRNA from 1 species
GGGUGCUGCGGCUACUUAUGCCGUGAUCAUACGGGGAAUUUUCUAGGAUCUUCGGCUAUGGUUUUCAGUGGAAUAACGGACCCAGCGACUCUUGAAGCACUAGCAUGCCGAGAAGCGUUGGCCCUUGCUCUAGAUUUGUCUCUGACUAGAAUGGUCAUUGCAUGUGAUUGCAAAUCAGUGGUGCAAGAGAUAAAAGGUGGGACGGAAGGAAGAUACAGUGCAAUUAUUAAGGAAAUCUCAGAACGUUCGAGGGAAUUCACAAGUUGUAAAUUUCUCUUUGAAGGCCGUAGUUUAAAUUUUGAUGCACACAAUUUAGCUAAAUUUUCUGCGUUGUUAGAUGUGGGGCGCCACUUGUGGCUGUUUGUACCCCAUGACACUUUUGUCAUUCCUGUAAACUGUACUCCCAGUGAAUAA